rnacentral:rRNA from 1 species
UACGGGGGAUGCAAGCGUUAUCCGGAUUUAUUGGGUUUAAAGGGUGCGUAGGCGGAACAUUAAGUCAGCGGUAAAAUCGAGGGGCUCAACCCCUUUAAGCCGUUGAAACUGGUGAUCUUGAGUGGGCGAGAAGUAUGCGGAAUGCGUGGUGUAGCGGUGAAAUGCAUAGAUAUCGCGCAGAACUCCGAUUGCGAAGGCAGCGUACCGGCGCCAGACUGACGCUGAGGCACGAAAGCGUGGGGAGCAAAUAGG